rnacentral:rRNA from 1 species
UGAGCAAUCUGCCCUUCUCUUCGGAAUAAGCGUUGGAAACGACGUCUAAUGCCGAAUACGACCUCCUUUCGCAUGAUCGGAGGUGGAAAGCUCCGGCGGAGAAGGAUGAGCUCGCGGCCUAUCAGCUUGUUGGUGAGGUAAUAGCUCACCAAGGCGAUGACGGGUAGCCGGCCUGAGAGGGUGACCGGCCACACUGGGACUGAGACACGGCCCAGACUCCUAGGAGG